AUUCGCUUUUGCGUGUGCACGCGCAGCUCUGUGGGAGCCAGGUUCUGGCCAGGAUUGGUGCGACUUUGCUUCUGGGGUGCAGGCUGUCUUUUAUCUCCGUUAAUGUGUACCUUCAGAUGGAACACCGGUACAUUGGCGGUUUGCUUAUCAUGAACGAAGCUGUGAGUAACUGAAUAAUCUGUGGCUCUAGCGAUCUACUACCUGGUAUGUAUAUUUAACCACUUGAGCAUGAUGAGGUUGAGUAUUUUUCUUUCAUUCGUUUUGUUUAUUUUUAGUGCGUUAAUCUGCUCUGUAGCGGUUCGUCACUGUGGGGCAAAUGCUUCCUAGACGACAACCUUGUUAGACUGCACUGUUUGUUCUGCUGCCUUUCAUACUAGUGUGACUUUGUUUUCUUUUGUUUUGUAAGCUUUACGCUAAUAUUGGUGGUCUUGGUGAAGGGUGGCUAGUCUCAGGGCCGUCACUAAGCAUGAGACUUUCCAAUGUUGUACCUUAGCCCCACCUUUUACGAUAUCGCUACCAACUGUUUGUUUGUUAAUUUGUUGCUUUCUUUGGUUUGUGCUUUUCCUAGUUUAACUUUCUAAUUACUUUUUGUUUUGUGAUUUAAUUUGUUUGAAGCAUAAUUAAUUGUCAUUUCCAUUUUGUAUUGUUUGACUUAUUUUGUUUGUUAUUAUUUUUUUCUUUAUCGCAGUUGGCUGCUCCAUUGAUUGUUCAGGCCUUACUGGCAAUUUGGUGUAAACCUUUCUGGGUUACACCAGUCUGUCGAACUUGUGGCCAGUAAUUCGCCAGUUAUUGACCUUCUUCAGGGUUGGAACCUGCUUUACUAUAACUGAGUGUCUGUUGAUUGCGAAAUAAAUAGUUUUUUUUUUUUGUUUGUUUCAGGAACUGGAGGCCCCCGGUGUAGGGAAGCUAGCUGUUCUUGUCCUUUUUGUGGUGUUUCCUUCACAGAGUGUUUUGCUGUUGGCACUUGCCUUUCUCUCACUUGGCGUGUGUGAGUGUUGGUGUGGUCUUAGGAUACUCACUGUGCAGCUAGCCACCCUACUGGUAAACCUCAGCCUGAAAGUUUUUCUUCUUUAUUUUCCAUUUUUUUUUGGUCUGGCGCCCACUGAAGCAGUGUAAACUCUUAACCGUUCUUAUACAUUUUAAAUGUAUUAUUGUUGUGAAAAUAAAAAAAUUUGUUUUG